rnacentral:RNase_P_RNA from 1 species
GAAGUAAACCAGGCGAUCGCUCGCUGUGGAAACAUGGCGGGAGGAAAGUCCGGGCUCCACAGGACGCCGUGGUGGGUAACCCCCACCGUCCGCGAGGACCGGGAAAGUGCCACAGAAAACAAACCGCCACGGUGUCCGAUGACUGCGCGUGCAGAAUCGGAGGUCGUGGUAAGGGUGAAAAGGUGCGGUAAGAGCGCAC